CCUAAUACAUGCAAGUCGAGCGAAUGGAUUAAGAGCUUGCUCUUAUGAAGUUAGCGGCGGACGGGUGAGUAACACGUGGGUAACCUGCCCAUAAGACUGGGAUAACUCCGGGAAACCGGGGCUAAUACCGGAUAACAUUUUGAACCGCAUGGUUCGAAAUUGAAAGGCGGCUUCGGCUGUCACUUAUGGAUGGACCCGCGUCGCAUUAGCUAGUUGGUGAGGUAACGGCUCACCAAGGCAACGAUGCGUAGCCGACCUGAGAGGGUGAUCGGCCACACUGGGACUGAGACACGGCCCAGACUCCUACGGGAGGCAGCAGUAGGGAAUCUUCCGCAAUGGACGAAAGUCUGACGGAGCAACGCCGCGUGAGUGAUGAAGGCUUUCGGGUCGUAAAACUCUGUUGUUAGGGAAGAACAAGUGCUAGUUGAAUAAGCUGGCACCUUGACGGUACCUAACCAGAAAGCCACGGCUAACUACGUGCCAGCAGCCGCGGUAAUACGUAGGUGGCAAGCGUUAUCCGGAAUUAUUGGGCGUAAAGCGCGCGCAGGUGGUUUCUUAAGUCUGAUGUGAAAGCCCACGGCUCAACCGUGGAGGGUCAUUGGAAACUGGGAGACUUGAGUGCAGAAGAGGAAAGUGGAAUUCCAUGUGUAGCGGUGAAAUGCGUAGAGAUAUGGAGGAACACCAGUGGCGAAGGCGACUUUCUGGUCUGUAACUGACACUGAGGCGCGAAAGCGUGGGGAGCAAACAGGAUUAG
rnacentral:rRNA from 1 species